GUAGAGUCCAAGAAAGUAUGUUACAUAACAUACUUUCCAGAGUCAUGUCGUGAGUUUCACCUCGACUAAGAGGGGGUCUCUGUAGAGGCAGUGGUGGUUUCGGGAAAGGAGAAGGUCUCCUUGUGUUAUAGCUUCACUGUACUCAUCAUGUCCAUACUUUCAAAAGUCACUGAGCCUCCAUGAACGAAUAAACGGAAGCUGAGGAGGGAGCAGCUAGUUUGGAAGAUGAGGAAAAUGGUUUAGAAAAACUUCUUUUGAAUAUAAUCAAGAAUCAGAGCAAGUAAGAACAAUAAUAUAUGAUCAAGGACUGGUAUUACAC